GGGGUUGUUGCUUUGAACCAUGUUAACUUCAGUCACCACUGCAACGUCACAACUGCAACGAGAUCCUCUUCAGUGAGACUCGCUUGAUGCUUCUCAUCUCUGAUCUUGAUGCAACACUCAACAAUUUUGUGCCCUACUUUGUGGCAGUAGUGACACUUCCCCUUGAAUUUUUCCAUAUUCGCAUUGAUUUCAGUGUCUUUCUUCUUGAAAUUUGUUCCAGAAGCCUUCAGAACUGCAG
rnacentral:lncRNA from 1 species